rnacentral:hammerhead_ribozyme from 1 species
AUCCACCUGACGAGUCCCAAACAGGACGGAACACGCGUCCUGGAU